rnacentral:lncRNA from 1 species
UGAACUGUUUUUUAAUUAACGUGUUUCUUCCCCUUCUCCCAAAUCCUUCUGUUCCUCCUGUAGCAGUGUUCCAAGCUUAAUAUAUUGAAUGAAUCAUUUCCCUUUAAGUUAUUUUUGCCUUACUUCAGAAGCCUCCCUCAUCUCAGAUUGUCUUUGAAGGGGAAAAAAGGUCAAAGAACCCUCAUAUUCUUUAACUAAGUGUUAAAAAUAUGUUUCUCUGCAUUUCAUGAGUGGAAGGAAAAACCAUAUUAUCCCCAUAUUUCCCAGUCAACUCAAAAUCAAGGGGUCUGCAGGGCUCAGAUAGGCUUGUGUCAGUCAGUGGGAAUAUGGCCAUAGAACAAUACCUGGCAUCUGCCACAAAGGGGAAGAUCCCAUUGUAGAAGAACAUGAUGGUGAGAACCAGGAGCCAGUAGCGAAGGGCAAGUUGCCUGAUGUCCUGAAUCCUCUGCGAAGAAAAGAUGUGCCCUCACUCAACAGGAAAUAGUCUUCUACUUCACAUUAAUGUCACUUUCUGUAAGCCUUCUAAGGCAUUCUGCUGCUCAUAACAUAAUCUUUCUUUAGAAGGAGAACCUGAAGACAUGCUAGGCAAGAGAAAAAAAUAUCCAAAUACAGAGUCGAUGGAUAUGCCUUCCUACCAAGCUGCUCACUAGUGACUUCUGCACUGGUACAGAGUCUCUCUCUUCCCAGUAAAGAUGAUUGAAUUUCACCUACAUGCAAAUCAUGGGCAGAGGAGCCCGGGAAUGUUUUAGUUUAAGAAAAGGAAGAAUGACCGUAAGAAGGAUUGCUGAGGGGAGUGCUCAGUCCCUGCAAGAGCCCAGAGCCAUGUCUCAGUAAGCAGGGGACCAGGCAGCAGGGAAGGAGAGACGCAGGAGAGCCCUGUGGCUCUGGACCACCACCUGUCCUCCUUCCAACUGUGAGCUGUGCCUUGCUGGGCCACGCUGACAGCGGUGGCCUUGGGCAGGGUUCCCAGUCCUGCUCGUGUCCUGGGGAAGGAGCCAACGCUGCCCUGCUGCCCACCCCACGCCAGCAACGGAGAGAGCAAGGUAGGCAUGUGAGCUGAAGAUGAUUAACUGGUCAUGAUUUAAUUGUUUUGGGGGAAAGAAAAAGGGGAGGGAGGCAGCUCAGAGUUCAGGGGGAUGCUGGAACCUCUCUGUUUCCAGCAGCUGGUGGAAAAAGCAGCAGGCAAAAUC